UGUCAAAACAAAUGGUGUCUUUUUAUGAAUGGAGAGGUCCAGACAGGGAAUGUUUCUGGCCAUCUCUUUGGGCGGCAUGUGUAUCCUUCUUUCUAUUGUGGUGAUUGUCAUCACAUUGUAUGUCUGCAGACUGAGACACAACCCUCGAAAGAAAAUAUUUCAAGCCUAUGAGCACAACCAGGACGGAGCACAGGUAAAAUAACUUUUUUCUAAAUGUUUGUGUAUUAUACCAUUAUAAGUAUUAUUUUUGUGAGAUUUUACUAUUACUACGUUUUCUAUUAUUACUAUUUGUAAUGAUGAUGAUGAUGGUGUUUCCUUGUCAUUCAGGGUCUGACUGAGGUGCAGUAUGACAGUUUGAAGUUUGGAGCUGGUCGUGGGAGACCCUUCCUACAACCGCAGCUAAAAAAUAAGUAGGCUAAAGCUGCCCUUGUAAGACCUGCCCUUGUGAGUCAAUGAUUUAAGGAUUCUUGCUUUUAGAAUAAGGAAUUUAUGCUGUCGGAUUGUGUAGUCAUUUUACAAGCUUUGUGAUUGAAAACCAUUCGUCUUGUUGAAAUAAUAGCCAAAUGUAAAUUACAUUAAAGACAAAUACAAGUUUCAUUUAUGGAGUGAAGUAAUUUCUCUAGUCAUAUGCUGAUGAGAUUUUUGUGAUAAUAGUCAGCUAUAAAAAUGGGUCACAGAUGGAAUCUUUUUCAUCUUCAACAUUAAUAGUACAUCCUGUUUGUUUCACAUAAUGCUCAGCAAGUACAACAGCACAUCCUCCAUUUGAUGGUAAGCUUUUUUGUCCAAAUGCUCUGCCUCUUAGUAUUUCAAAAUGUCUCACAAGUUCGGUGCGUUCUAUAACUUAAAUGAUUGAGCAUCUUUCAUCUCUGUGAUGUUGCAACACAAACCCACAGAUUUACAUCAUUUUAGCAGACGCUCUUACCCAAAUAUAAAUGGUGUUUGACCUUAAGCUAUUUGAAAGUGGUACUAAUUCAUGUAUUAUCUAUACAGAAUUCAUAUUCUGUGUUAUUAGUUUAUGGUUCCCAUACACCAUUGUAAGGAAGGAAGGAAUGGUGAUCUUUGGCUCCUGCCCCCCGUCCUGAUAGGAAUGAGUGAACUCCUUUUCUCCUGCUCGGUUUGAUGAUGUCAUGGCUUGUGCAUGUCUCUCUGGCAUGGGCUCUUUGCGCUGCUAAGCUGUUUGUUGCAAAACAGACACAGCAUUAUUUAAUUUUUUAAGAGCUCCGUCGGGUGGGUUAAAACAUUGCUUUUAGGUGGAUCAUUCUCC
rnacentral:lncRNA from 13 species